AAAUAUUUGGAAUGUGAAGGGCUUAUAUAUAAGAAUAAUAAUGGCCGGAUUAUUCACUCCUGUGCUUUUCUAUUUCAUUGCCCCCACCGUAAUUCGGUCAAAUCUGACUGCGGUAAAUCAAUAAGAUUUACGAUUGGAGGCCUUAUUUAGGCGGGCGAUGAGGAAGCAGUAGCAGCAUCAGGAAUCUGAUUGGUUGGUGAUGAUGAUGGACGACGACGACGAUGGAGUUGACAACGAGAGAGAGCACGCUGGUCGGCGCUCAUGGAAGAUGGGGGUCCGCGGCUGCUUACUUGCGUGCUUCCCCUCGUUGUCACCCCUUCUCUCUUAGUGAUCUCAUCGCCACGAAAUAGCUUCAAGCUUUUUUUGGUAGGAUUUCAUAUUUUGCUCUUAAAUUAAAUGUUCUUAACUGAAGAUGCAUGCCUCAAUUUGUUUCCUUGAAAGAAAAAACAGCUAAAAUGUUGUGUAGCUAAGUGAAGAUGCUGUGAUUGUGUACAGUAGAUAUGGGCUAUCUUGACAAGGUCAGUUUUAUCAA